UGCCAGCAGCCGCGGUAAUACGAAGGUCCCAAGCGUUGUUCGGAAUCACUGGGCGUAAAGCGUGCGCAGGCGGCAUAGUAAGUCAGAUGUGAAAUCUCUGGGCUCAACCCGGAAACUGCAUCCGAUACUGCUAUGCUAGAGUAAUGGAGGGGUAGCUGGAAUUCUCGGUGUAGCAGUGAAAUGCGUAGAUAUCGAGAGGAACACUCGUGGCGAAGGCGAGCUACUGGACAAUUCCUGACGCUGAGGCACGAAAGCUAGGGGAGCAAACAGGAUUAGAUA
rnacentral:rRNA from 1 species